AUCAAAUGCAACUAUUAAACAUCUUUAAAUAAAAAAAUAGAUAAUUACCUAUAUACUAUUUAUUCGUUUGAAAAUAUUCAAUUUAUCCUUUUUUUUCUGUCUAAAAUACCCUUUAUAUGUCCCACCGUUAUUGCAAAAUACCCUGCAGUUAUCACCUGUUAAGUUAACUUGAGUUAAACGUGAUUUAAAUAUCUACCAUAGUUAAAAAAAAAUUAAAAUACCAAUUUUGUCCUUAACUUAAGGGCAAAUAAGAAAUGUUGGUCACGGUAGAGGGGGUAUAUUUGAAAAAAAGACCAAAAGUCAAAGUAUUUUUUGUGCCAUGACUUAAGGGCAAAAAAGAAAAGUCGGUGAUGGUGAAAGGGUAUAUUUGAAAGGGCAAGAUAGUAAUUUUAUACAGAUAAUAGAGUUUAUUAACAGAUUUUAACUCUAGAGGGGUAUAUUUGAAAUAGGUUGGAACAUAAAAAAUGUAUUUUCAAUAUUAACCUUUUAAGAUGAGUAAAUCAGAAGGUCGGGAAUUUUUUGAAGGUAUAUAAGCAAUUAC
rnacentral:lncRNA from 1 species